GCCGAUUUAGCUCAGUUGGUAGAGCACCCGCCUUGUAAGCGGUAGGUCGUCAGUUCGAAUCCGACAAUCGGCACCA
rnacentral:tRNA from 19 species